rnacentral:rRNA from 1 species
AUUGAACGCUGGCGGCAGGCCUAACACAUGCAAGUCGAACGGUAACACGAAGAAGCUUGCUUCUUUGCUUACGAGUGGCGGACGGGUGAGUAAUGUCUGUGAAACUGCUUGAUGGAGGGGGUUAACUACGGGAAACGGUAGCUAAUACCGCAUAACUUCGCAACACCAUAGAUGAGUACCUUCGGGCGUCUUUCCAUCGACUUUGCCCAGAUUGGAUUAGCUAGUAGGUAGGGUAACGGCUCACCUAGGCGACGAUCCCUAGCUGGUCUGAGAGGAUGACCAGCCACACUGGAACUGAGACACGGUCCAGACUCCUACGGGAGGCAGCAGUAGGGAAUAUUGCGCAAUGGGCGCAAGCCUGAUGCAGCAAUGCCGCGUGUAUGAAGAAGGCCUUCGGGUUGUAAAGUACUUUCAGCAGGGAGGAAGGGAGUAAAGUUAAUACAUUUACUCAUUGACGUUACCCACAGAAGAAGCACCGGCUAACUACGUG